rnacentral:rRNA from 1 species
AAAGGAGGGGCAAUACCGAAUAUUGUCCGGAACCGUGAAGGGUUUCGGGGAAAGGGAGGCCUCUGACACAAGCUUUCGCCUUAAGAUGAGCCCAUGGCCCAUCAGCUAGUUGGUAGGGUAAAGGCCUACCAAGGCUACGACGGGUCGCUGGUCUGAGAGGACGACCAGCCACACUGGCACUGAGAUACGGGCCAGACUCCUACGGGAGGCAGCAGUGAGGAAUAUUGCGCAAUGGGGGAAACCCUGACGCAGCAACGCCGCGUGUGGGAAGAAGGCCUUCGGGUCGUAAACCACUUUUACUCGGGACGAAAAAGGGAUAUCAAAUAAAUAUCCCCGAUGACGGUACCGUGAGAAUAAGCCACGGCUAACUCUGUGCCAGCAGCCGCGGUAAGACAGAGGUGGCAAGCGUUGUUCGGAAUUACUGGGCGUAAAGAGUCUGUAGGUGGUUUGUCAAGUCUUUGGUGAAAGGCCGUAGCUUAACUAUGGGAAUGCCAAAGAGACUGGCAGGCUGGAGGCUGGGAGAGGGAAGCGGAAUUUCUGGUGUAGCGGUGAAAUGCGUAGAUAUCAGAAGGAAGGCCGGUGGCGAAGGCGGCUUCCUGGAACAGUCCUGACACUGAGAGACGAAAGCGUGGGGAGCAAACAGGAUUAGAUACCCUGGUAGUCCACGCCCUAAACGAUGGGUACUAAGUGUGGAGGGGUUAACCCUCCGUGCCGCAGCAAACGCAGUAAGUACCCCGCCUGGGGAGUACGGCCGCAGGUUGAACUCAAAGGAAUUGACGG